ensembl:lncRNA
AUGGUAUAUGCAGGACAACAGGGGGAUCAGGCCCAGCCAGCAUGGGUUCGUGAAGGGCAGGUCCUGCUUGACCAGCCUCAUCUCCUUCUGUGACAAGGUGACCCACAAAGUGAAUGUGGGAAAGGCUUCUGAUGUAGUCUACCUCAACUUCAGCAAAGCCUUCAACACUGUCUUCCACAGUGUUCUCCCAGGGAAGCUGGCAGCCCAUGGCUUGGACAGAUACACUCUUUGCUGGGUAAAGAACUGGCUGGAUGGCCAGGCCUGGAGAUUGGUGGUGAAUGCAGUCACAUCCAGCUGGUGACUGGUCACGUCACGAGUGAUGCUCCCCAGAGGUCUCAGAGAAGAGUGGCAUUUCCUAUGGAUUAACUUACUUAGAUAAACACUGUUAUCUGUGCCUUCCCUUCCGUGGGAAAUAUCUCUACGAGAAAUGCCACACUAUACAACAGAAAUAGGAAUUUACUUGCCAUCGAGGUCUUCAUCUUUAUCAUCUUUGGCAUCAUCUUUAGAACUGUUUGGAGCCACAGUACGUGUGAAGCUUCAGGGAAAAUUCUGGAUAUGCUCAAAUGAAUUUUUGAACAAUGGGGUAAUGCGUCUUCACUCUCCAGAAGGUCAAGGUGACCACAUCCCUUGCUGUGCUCGUUUGUGCAGCUGCCUUGGAGUUAGACUUGGUUCUCAGCCUACAUGUUGUGCACUCAGGUGGACUGAGCCAGAGCUGUUCAAAUAACUACAAACUACCUUUGACACAAUGCAAGGUGUGCUCCUUGCAGAGGCAAUAGUGUUUGUCAGGUCAUGUGGAACUGCAUAUCUUGAACCGUGCAUUCAAAUGUCAGCAGCUAUUGUUAGACCACUUCAUAAAUGAAUAAGAAACAUUUUCUUCAUCAGCCCAGAAGGUUACAGAAAACCCUCUGCAUCUGGCAAUGUCUUUCUUGCAGCCAUGGAGCAAAGAUGAAUGGGUAGAGGGUGAAAACAGAAAGAGAGAUUUUGCCAAUCUGCUUGUGAUUUAGAAAAAGCUUAAUUCAUAAAUGUCAUGGAAGCGGUGUGUUCUUACUGAGCAAAAACAAUACUGUUCUCCACGUCUUCCUUCUUAAUCUUUUUUAUGCUGGGAAAAGAGAAGGCAAAUGUUAAACAAUUAAAAGCAAAUCUUCU